rnacentral:lncRNA from 1 species
CUUUAUUGAAACGUAACACUAACCAUGAUUGCUUCACAUAACUUGAUGAAACAAAGUAUUAUUUAACGAAGUGUGGUAAGAAAAACAGCCACCUACCCCCCCUUUUUUCUUUUCUUUUGGUAAUGGUACAGUCCGAGUCCGCAGACCAGCGAGGGACAUUACGCAUUACGCGCAUUACGCACGAGCAGAGCAUCAGCUGUGGAGAGUCGGGGAGGGACAAGCUUCCCUCACUCCUCCUCCCUUUGCUUUAAUAUCCCUACAUUUUUUAUCUAACUUCUGCGAAGAGGAGCAGCAGCAGCGACUGGCUGCUUCUGGCCCUGCUUUCUAUUAUUAUUAUUAUUAUUCAUUUAUUUAUUGCUGGGUCUUAUUUCUGCUCUCGGGAAGAAAAAAAAGGGUUUCCUGCCCGGUGCGUCCAGGACACCGGGUGCAGCUGGAGUGACUCGGAGCAAGUUUUUCCACCCCCCCUUACAUUCUGCCCCUGAGGAAUGAGAGGAGUGCCGCAGAGGAAGAGCCCGAAGUCGCGCGUUUGAAUGAACAAAAGACGCGAGGGCGAGGAGUGCGCCGCCGCCGCCGACAUGGAUGGAAAUGCAGGGGCCACAUCUCCCUACUCGGAUCUGAAGACAAACCCCAUGAGGCCGGACCCGGAGGGGGAGAGCAGCCCCCCGAGCACAGACAACACCCAGAGAAUGGAGUCUCCAGUCAAGAAGGAAAUCGACCGAAGGUUGACUACCCCCAGGAAAUCUGAUAUCAUCCCUGGAUCACCGGCAUCACCGGCAUCACCGGUUCCCAGGUCGAAACAAGACCUCAUGAAGUCAGAGGAGAGGCAGAAGCUCGCCAAGGAGCGGAGGGAGGAAAAGGCCAAGUAUCUGGGUGAGUGGAAACCAGGGGGUGAGAGGACAUGCCCUUUUACACAGGAAGAGGGUGCCCCCUAGUGUUGGGGCGAAAGAGGUUGUUUUGUGUCUGUGCUGGUGUUCUUGCGACGGGGUUGGCUGCAGGCAGCAGUUGGCAUGCACAUGUAGCACAGAAACACGGAGAUGAUAAAAUAGUAUUGUUCUGCAUUUCAAAAAAGAAAUGAAGAAAAAAAAUUGGCACACAGCCAAGCCAUCAUUUUACCAAAAAAUAAGCGAGUAUUAAUUUUCUGCAUGAAUGCUUACUUCUUCGUGAACAGUUUUAAAAAAAAGAAAUAGCUUAUUGUAUGUUGUUUGACUUGCCAUUGCUUUUUGCUCACCUCACCAAAUAUAUGCUUAUACAGUUUGAAUUAAAUCGAUAUUUUCCUCACACGGACAAUAAGUCUUGACCUUUUUGCGGUGUGCGGAAUAUAUCUCAUGGCUUCAUUGGAAAUUCGAACCUUCUUCUGCAAACUUAAAACUUUCCUCAGUGCCUUUUGCCUUUCACGUGGGCCUCACAUCAAAUGACACAAUUGUUCUGACUGUGUCAGUUGAUAUUACACCUCUUUGCCCGAAUCUUUAUUUUCUUAUUUAGCACAUGGCCGUCACAUUAACACCCAGCUACGUGCUGGUCGUGCACUGCUUUGCAUGAUUGACAGUUGCCUGUGUCUUCUCUCUCACCUCUUCCUCCUGCAGACGAGGUGAGCAAGCUACAAGGUAAGCCACUCGCAGAUGUGCAUGUGGUGGUGGUGGUGGUGGUGACGUCGACUGUUUUUGAUCAUUCUCUACCAUUUGGAUGCGUCAAGUUGUCAAACUUAAGACGUUCAGUAUUUAACUAGAGCUGGGCAAUACACCGAUAGCGUAUAAAUACUAAAAUCAGCAGUAAAAUAAUCCAAUGUUGCAUAAGUUCUUCCAACAAAGGCAACACCUAUUCACAUGGUUUGGCCUUAGCUCUCAUAUGUACGAUACGCCCCCUGAUAAAGAAAAGCAGGCAACACAAUGACCAGUAAUUGAGCAAAUUCAAAAUAUGAGCUUUAAGAAGAUAUAUUGCACUAAAGCUUAGAAUUUUUGAACUUUAUUGACAGUAAAUUAUAUAUGACCCAGCCCUAGUGCUUCAUUGAUUUAGUCCUCGUGGUGUUCCUUGGCUUUUAAUUGUGGUAGUGUUAUUUUUUAUUUCAACUAAUUGUGAGAUUUUUUUUUCCUCUUAUAACAUCAUCAAUAUGUCUUUCAUGUAAAUUCAUGUAGCCACAGAAUGAUCAUGUAACCAAUCAUUAAUGUGUAAAUAAAUGAAUUAUUGUUUCAGUAAAAUGACUCAGCAGCUGCCCAUCUGAGGAUGUCGCUUGACCCGAGGUUGAACUUUGCUCAUCCACAUCUACCAGCUCUUCUGAUUUUAGUCUUUAAAGACAACACGUUUGAACCACAUGUCACAAAAACCACGAUGAUUACCAUCUAACUGGGGAAAUUGGAGGUUUCAGAGACACUUGCUGCCAGAUUUAUCUUUUGUCUGUGAUUUUCUCCCCAUCUAAACAACCUUGCGUUGCCAAAUAGAAAUCGCACCCGUUAGAAAACAUUUUACGAAGUGGGAAAAGAAAAAUAUGUAAAUUAGUGUUUACUUGUUUGUAUGGAAAGCAGACACAUUACAAAUUUUAUAUUUUGGUAGUCUCACAGGUUUGUAGCUAAAGGGACCGGGAGUUUAACAGAAAAUUUUUUUUGAAGAAAAAAAUAAUCAUAGUCAAUGAUUUGACAAACUCUGAUAUUAAUAUUUAAAGUAUUAUAGUAUUUAUUUCUUAUCGUACAUUCUGUAAUUCCGUGUCGUCUAAUCCAAGUGUGUGUUCGACAGCCGUAAGAUGCAUUUGACACACUUGCGUUCGACGCUAAUUGGGCGAUCACCGGGGCAUGCCAGAUGGCACGGGUCUGAUCUAGUACUCCGGGAUGAAAGAUAAGAUGCUGCCAAAGCUUGUGUUUACACUAUCAGCUUCUCGGACAGGAAGGCUUAUCUUAUCAACCGUUGGCUGUAGUGUUUAGUAAUAGGUGGGUGUCAGGAUCAGAAAAGUCCCUACAGCUUCCUCCUUGUUAUUUUUAAGUGACGCUUUGAGAGAGUGGCAUGAGAGAGUUUGCCCGCGACUGCACAGCACCUACCCUCCUGCCUCGUCCGUCUGCAGGUAUAAAUACUUCAUGCACCGGUGUCCUCUGGUCACGAUUACUUAAAGAUCUUACGACAGUGGGUCCCCGGUGGUACCUGUCAGCACCGGUCACUGUCAGGAGGGAGUUGAGGAAUGCAUUUUGAAGCAACGUCAGCUUAAGAUAUUCAUUUGUUUGCCGUUUCAAUCCC